UGACAAUAUCUAAUAUCCGCACGGACCACUCAUGUGCCAACAAUAACAAUGACUCAUGACCAUACAGACACUCAAGUGCCAGUAGAACAACUCUCACACAGAAGGUAAGUAGACGAGAGUACAUGUAAAUGGUCUAUAACAUCAGGAUUCAUCUUAUUAAACCUAUAUGGGUGAUUAAAUCAUGUGUAUGCUUGUGCAAGUGUCCUAACAUAACUCAAGUCAACAAGUAAGAGUAGUAACAAUAAAUGGCACAUAAGAAACGAUCACCACAAAAUGUACUAUAUAAUAAAGACAGUAAACAACAAGAUCAACUACACAGAACUAAACAAAUAUUGCAACACGAAGAAGGACAAUUAAUAGUAUGCAAAGGAAACAAUGAUCAAAGACAUGUACAAAAGAAUGAGAAAAUGUCAAUAAGAGUCACUACUGAGGUACCACCUCGUUGUCUCAAAUAACGAAAUGUAUCACAAUCUUUUCUUAUAUCACUGCGGGAGCCUUUACAUUUAGUUUUGAAAAUUAUUUUUCCCAAAAUAGCAUUCCACGUUUUAUCCCACCUUAUCAAAUCGUAUGGCUUCUAGCAGUUCCCCUACUAGUCAAGCGUAUCAAGCCCACCUUAUCUCACCCCAUGCGUUUCAACACCCAGACUUUAUACCACCGCAUGCGUAUCAAUAUCACAACGUAUCACAAUCGGACGUCAAGUGCCCACAAUCACAAUUUGCUAGAGAAACCAAGCAAUAAUAGAAUUUCACAAUAAGGAGCCCACAACUCAACCUCAAUGUACAACAACAACAACUACAACAAUAAUACGAGAAUAUAGCAAGUAAAUAAUCACAAGACCUUCAUAAAUUAAAGAAACGAAAGAACGAGCUCACAAAGAAAGGCACAAUAGGGGAUAAUGGUCUCCACAAGAAUAGCUCAACUAUGGAGAGAUAAUGUGUAUCAAUUAUUCCACAAUAGUACAAUUUGACGACAAUAGAGAUAACAUGAAUAAUUAACUCCAAAUAAGAAUACGUCAAUAAUGAAAUGAAUAACAAACUUCAUUCUCUCAUUACAGAAAGGAUAGCAUGAUAAUAAAAGAGGCAACAACUUCAAUUAAGGCACAUAAGAGUCUAAUCGGUAAUAAGGGUAGAACAUGAAGCAAUUAAUUUUAAAUAAGACACGUAAGGGUGAAUUUAGUAGGGUAAUUUAACAUGACAAAACAACUUUAUAUCUAAUGAACAUAAGAACCUAAGAGCCCUAAAUGGUCAAAUUUCCACAAAUAAGCUCGAGCGCGUACUCGUCACCUCGCGUACGUAGCCUUCACAUGAAACAAUUAGCAUAAAUAACUGAAAUCCUAAUGGGUAGUUCCCUCACACAAAGUUAGGCAAGAUACUUACCUCAAAUAAGCUAGACCGAUACUCUAAAAUGACCUUUUUGAGUGAAACAACCUUCGGAUGACCAAAAUCUAGCAAAAAUAACUUCAAAUCAUAAAUAAAACUCAUAGAAAACAAUUCCUGAUAAUAAAGAUUUGAUCUUUAAUUAAAACUAAAAAGUCAACCCCCAAGACCGCACCUCGAAAUCUCAUAAAAUUCAAAAAAAAAUGAACACUCAUUCCGAUACGAGUCCAACCAUACAAAAAUUAUCAAAUUCUGAUAUCGAAUCGCCCUACAAAUACUCAUUUUACAUUUUGAAUAAUUUUUACAAAGUUUCCCAUUUUCUUCUCUUCAAUUCAAUAAUUUAAUGAUAUAAAUAAGUUUGAAAUCAUGAAAUGUAAACAAUUUCGAAUAUAGAAUUCUUAUAAGCAAUUUCAAAUGUAACCCUUCAAAAAUCGCCCAAAUCUAAGGCAUUUAUCUUAAAAUGUGAUAAAAUAGCCAAACCCUCGAAAUAGAGUUCUUAUAACUCUGCCCAGUCAUUCCUCAUAUGCGACUACGGAAUACACCCCGCGAUCGUGGAAAGAAAAAAUCAGUACUCAUGGAAAUAAGCUAUGCGUUCUCCAAAAGCACCUCGCGAACGCGAUGAACACAUUACAUAACCUUCGCGAACGCAUACCAUAUUUCGCGAAUGCAAUGAGUAACAUUCCACCAGUCCUCAGCUCCCUUAUGUGAAUGCGGAACACACUACGCGAACACGAACAACAACCAGCUAAACCUUCACGAAUGCAUGCCCAUUGUCGUGUUCGCGAUGAGAAAAAUACUAUGUUUCCCAGAAUCACUUCGCUAUCGCAUCUUCAUCUUCGCUAUCACGAAGAGCAAUAGUGACACCCGAAACCAACAACUCAAAUCAUGAAGAAAUGGCCCUAGCCCAUCCGGAACACACCUGAGACCCCCGAGAUCCCGUUGAAAUAUACGAACAAGUUCCAUAACAUAACAUGGACCCACCCUAGGUAUCAAAUCACAUAAAACUAUGUCGAAACUAUGAAUCGUACUACGAAUCGAACUUAUAAAUUUUCCAAUCUUCUAACUUCCAAAACUAGCACUGAAACAUAUCAAAUCAACUCAAAAUAACGUCAAAUUUUGCAUUCAAAUUCCAAAUGGCAUAAAAGCAACUAAUCAAACUCUUGAAAUUGCAUUCCGAUCCCGAUAUCACCAAAGUCAACUCUUGAUCAAACCUCUUAACCUUUUAAAACUUCAACUUUCCAAUUUAGCAGAAAUGCUUCAAAUUAUCCUACGAACCUUUGAAUCUAAAUUCGAACGCAUGCCUAAGUCCAAAAUCAGCAUACGAAGCUAUUAAAAUCAUCAAAACACCAUUUUAGAGUCGUCUACAUAAAAUCAAACUGCAGUUAACUCUUAUUGCUUAAGAUUCUAAAACAAGAAUCCUUCUUCCAAAUUGACCUUGAAUCCUCCAAAACUAAACUCGGGCACACAUGCAAGUGAUAACACAUAAUUCAAAGCUGCUCGAUACCUUACGUUGUCGAACAAGACGAUAAUUUUUAAAACAACCGGCCAAGUCAUUACAAUUGUUGAUUUGAGGAUUGUUGGUGCAGUGCUUAGCAAUUGUGAGGUCGGGCUCAGAUUUGCAAGCAUCGUUUUUGCGAACAAUAGUUUGCAUUUGUGAGUAGUGGCCUCGGCUAGGUGGCAUUGUAUUUGUGAGGAAAUGGUUCACAAUCACAAAUUGGCUGGGACCGCUUUUGCGAUCAUCUUGGUUGCAUUUGCGACCUCUGGAACUUUGGACAACAUCGCAUUUGUGAAGCUUUGGGCGCAUUUGCAAUGGGAGCAGACAUCACAAUUGCGAAGUCAAUGUCGAAUUUGUACCUUCCGUUUUGAAUAACAGGCACUGCAAUUGCGAGUCAUUCUUUGCAAUUGUGAGGGCUCGCAAUUACAAACCCGUAAAUGCAAUUACAACACAUGCGCCUGAACAUAAGGUCUGAAAAUCGAGAUUUGAGUCUCAUGCUCUCAUUUUGGAACCCCAAACUCGGUAGGAGGCGAUUUUGAGAGGGGAUUUUUACCUACAAUUAUUGGGUAAUUGAUUUUGAUCUAUUUUCAAUUAUAUUACACGAUUAUACAUUAGAUUUAACAUCAAAUUCAUGAUAAUAUAAUAGAAAUUUUGGAGAUUUUUAUCUAUGUUUUUAAAAAAUAAAAAUUUGGAAUUUUAGAGUUGAAUUGGACUUGGAUUUUGAAAUAAAAUACAUAAAUAAACUCGUGGGGUUAUAGGUAGUCAAGAUCUACACUUGAACUCGGGUUUUGACCGGGCGGGACCGGACUUGACUUAAAAAACGGUCGUGGUUGAGUGUUAAUUUGGUUGCGGAAAGAGGUAAGUAUUGUGUAUAACCUUGACUUGAGGAAAUUAGGACCCGUUGAUCCAUUUUCUAUGUGAAUUAUGUGGAGAAACGUCGCAUAUCCGAGGUGUCGAGUUUAUAUGCACCGUUGUGGAAUUUAGCAUGAGAGAGUGGGCAAUUUAUUUCCAUAUCUUUGUCAUUCAAUGUUAUUUCUUGUUAUAUGCUUUAAUUAUUGCACUUGACAUCUAUGUUUUACUUGUUCACUUGUUACUUCAUUGUUAUUUACUUGAUUUGUUCAUUUCUCAUUCAAUAAUCUGCUUACUUGCUAUUUGUUCCUACUUGCCUUAUUUGUAUAUUCUCAUUAUCACAUGUUUUACCUACUUUUAUUGUCCUUCUAUUAAUAGAUGUACUCUAUUAUGUUAUUUUGCUUUCGUGAGUCAUUUAGCCAUUCUUGUAUAAUGAGUUGUUAAGGCUUAGAAUAUCGAUGUGUUGGAUAUCUUCCAUUCGUAUUGGUGGGUCAUAAAUGUAUUGUGUGCUCCAUCUUUUUUGGUUUUGAUAUUUCUUAAAUAUUGGUAUUGAGUUGUUUAUGUUAAUAAUUUAAUAUUGUUGGGAUCGGAUUGCGCGCUGCAACGAUAUUGAUAUGAAUUGAUAUUGUGGGAUUAGGCUGCACACCACAGCAGCGUUGAAAUGAUAUGAUAUUGUAAUGACCCGACCGAUUGUUUUGAGAGUUCUAGCCAUGUUUCCCCAUUUAUUGUUCCUUUUUGUAACUUGUCGGGUUUGUCAGUUCGGGUCCGAAGAGGUUUCGAAAUGAAUUGAGACACAUAGUCUCAAAGUUGAAAGCUUAAGUAGAGAAAGUUGACAGGAUAUUGACUUACGUGCAAAUGACUCCAAAAUGGAGUUUUGAUGGUUCUGUUAGCCCUUUGGGUGAUUUCGAACUUAGGAACAUAUCCGGAUUGUGAUUUGAAGGUCCGUAGUGAAAUUAGGCUUCAAAUGGUGAAAGUUGGAAAUUUGAAAAGCUUGACUGGGAGUAGACUUCUUGAUAUCAAGGGCAUAUUGGAAUUUUGGGAUUUGGAGUAAGUCCAAGGUGUCAUUUGUGACUUGUGUACAAAUUUUAGGGUCAAUCGGAUGUGAUUCAAUAGGUUUCGGCGUCGUUAAUAGAAAUUGGAAGUUUAAAGUUCAUUAGGCUUGAAUCAAUGUGUGAUUCAUGUUUUUGAUGUUGUUUGAGGUGAUUUUAGGGCUCGAAUAAAUUCGUAUGAUAUUUUGGGAGACGAUGGUAUGUUUGGUUGAGGUCCUUGGGGCAUCGGGUGAGUUUCAGAUAGUUAACGGAUCAAUAUUGGACUUGGCAUUUCAGUUGAAGACUACUGGUAUUUUGUUACUGGUUUCCUUUUAUGCGAUCGCAUGGGCAGGUCCGCGACCAUGUGUCACGCCUCUUUUUUACCACCCCGAAAGUAGUAUAAGGGAGUUUUUCCAAUUAAAGUGACGUGGAAACGAGAUUAUUUUAUUUAAAAUUCAGAGUUGCCACUUGGGAUAAUUUAUGGUAUCCCAAAUCACCGGUUUAAAAUCCCAAAUCGAGGAAGUUUGACUCUGUUUACGGUUCGCGAACACAGAAAUCCAGGUAAGGAAUUCUGUUAACCCGGGAGAAGGUGUUAGGCAUUCCCGGGUUCUGUAAUUUUAGCACGGUUGCUUUGAUCAUACUUGGCUGGUUAAAUUGUCUAAUUACUUAUUUUAGAAUGGAUUAAAAUGUAUGGCUCAAGUUUUAUACCACAGGGUCCUUGCAUAUGUCUAUGUCCCAUUUAAACUCCAAAUAAUCAGGUUCUUACCAUCGCAUGGCCCAAAUAUCUUAGCUAAUAGUCUGUUUUAUAAUCUAGCCCAUUAUCAAUUAAACCCAGGUCCAAACUAACUCUUCAAAUCAGUCCAUCCUAAAAGACCGAAUCUUUGAGAUAAUCACAGCUCCAUUCUUAAACAUCUUUAUUUUUUACAACUAAUACUUCAUGAAACUUUAGAGAUUUUCUCCAAAUUAUAUUAAACUAAUAAUGAAUAAUGAAAAAUUCAAGCCUUAACUAAUCAUGGAACUAACUUUCCUAUAAAACUAAACCAUUAAAUAUAACUAAAUUAUUUUAAGAAAACUAACCAGGAGCAGAAAAACUAUUGUUGCUUAUGGAUUAAAAGGGAGCAAACAUGUUCUUGCUAAACUUUGAACAAACAAAAGAUAACAAACUAAUGGACAAAAAUAAAGAAAACCUGCUCGAACAGAAAAGAAGCAGCAGCGCUGGAACCAUGCCGGCAACUCGAACGAAACCGACCUCACUCAAACUCCAUCUUGGAAAAGCGAAAAUCCGAAACAAGGAAGAUGAAACAGAACUUUUUAUGUGCUCUAUUUUGUAGUUGUCUUGCGAAUUAGUUUUAGAUGUUAGAAUAGUGACAAACUGAUUUUUGACGGAGCUUAGGACGAAAAGAAGAUGGGAGAUUUUGCUCUCUCUGUUUUCAACAUCUCUUUCUCAUGUGCCUUCUAUUUCGUCUUCUCACUCUAUGUGUGUGCGUGUGUGUGUAUGGCUGCUGGUUCGAUAUGGUAGAGGCAUAGAUGGGGUUGUUUGGUGUGAGGUGAGAGGUUUUCCUAAAGGUCCAUGGCUGUUGUAGCUGUGAUAGAUGAAGAAAAAGAAGCAGUGGCGAUGGGUGGUUGUUGCGGUGGUGUUGCGUAUAGAACUGGUGAACGUUGGUUGUUGCUGAAGGUUUAGGGAUGAAGAAACCGAGGUUCAAGCCAUUGGAAUGUGAAGGAGAGGAGGAGGGUCGUAUGGGGUGGGGUUCGAAAUUGUUCUCUGCUGCUUCUUUAGAUGCUUAUUUUGUAUAUGUUCGUCCAAAUCUAGAAGAAGAACGGCGGAUAGCUAUACGGGUAUAGGUCUUAGAGUCUAGGUAUUUUUUAGGCUAAUUUUGGUUAUAU
rnacentral:lncRNA from 1 species